rnacentral:rRNA from 1 species
GGUAGAGGAGCGUUCUGUAAGCCUGUGAAGGUGAGUUGAGAAGCUUGCUGGAGGUAUCAGAAGUGCGAAUGCUGACAUGAGUAACGACAAUGGGUGUGAAAAACACCCACGCCGAAAGACCAAGGGUUCCUGCGCAACGUUAAUCGACGCAGGGUUAGUCGGUUCCUAAGGCGAGGCUGAAAAGCGUAGUCGAUGGGAAACAGGUUAAUAUUCCUGUACUUCUGGUUACUGCGAUGGAGGGACGGAGAAGGCUAGGCCAGCUUGGCGUUGGUUGUCCAAGUUUAAGGUGGUAGGCUGAAAUCUUAGGUAAAUCCGGGGUUUCAAGGCCGAGAGCUGAUGACGAGUCGUCUUUUAGAUGACGAAGUGGUUGAUGCCAUGCUUCCAAGAAAAGCUUCUAAGCUUCAGGUAACCAGGAACCGUACCCCAAACCGACACAGGUGGUCGGGUAGAGAAUACCAAGGCGCUUGAGAGAACUCGGGUGAAGGAACUAGGCAAAAUGGCACCGUAACUUCGGGAGAAGGUGCGCCGGCUAGGGUGAAGGAUUUACUCCGUAAGCUCUGGCUGGUCGAAGAUACCAGGCCGCUGCGACUGUUUAUUAAAAACACAGCACUCUGCAAACACGAAAGUGGACGUAUAGGGUGUGACGCCUGCCCGGUGCCGGAAGGUUAAUUGAUGGGGUUAGCGCAAGCGAAGCUCUUGAUCGAAGCCCCGGUAAACGGCGGCCGUAACUAUAACGGUCCUAAGGUAGCGAAAUUCCUUGUCGGGUAAGUUCCGACCUGCACGAAUGGCGUAACGAUGGCGGCGCUGUCUCCACCCGAGACUCAGUGAAAUUGAAAUCGCUGUGAAGAUGCAGUGUAUCCGCGGCUAGACGGAAAGACCCCGUGAACCUUUACUGUAGCUUUGCACUGGACUUUGAGCCUGCUUGUGUAGGAUAGGUGGGAGGCUUUGAAGCGUGGACGCCAGUUCGCGUGGAGCCAUCCUUGAAAUACCACCCUGGCAUGCUUGAGGUUCUAACUC